GACGAACGCUGGCGGCGUGCUUAACACAUGCAAGUCGAGCGGAAAGGCCCUUCGGGGUACUCGAGCGGCGAACGGGUGAGUAACACGUGAGUAACCUGCCCCAGACUUUGGGAUAACCCUCGGAAACGGGGGCUAAUACCGGAUACGACACAGCUUCGCAUGGGGUCUGUGUGGAAAGUUUUUCGGUUUGGGAUGGGCUCGCGGCCUAUCAGCUUGUUGGUGGGGUGAUGGCCUACCAAGGCGACGACGGGUAGCCGGCCUGAGAGGGCGACCGGCCACACUGGGACUGAGACACGGCCCAGACUCCUACGGGAGGCAGCAGUGGGGAAUAUUGCACAAUGGGCGGAAGCCUGAUGCAGCGACGCCGCGUGAGGGAUGACGGCCUUCGGGUUGUAAACCUCUUUCAGCAGGGACGAAGCGUAAGUGACGGUACCUGCAGAAGAAGCGCCGGCCAACUACGUU
rnacentral:rRNA from 1 species